UCCGAACUGGCAAAACCCUGGGCCGCCAAAGCGGAGCCUGUGAACUUAACCACUCGGUCAUGGCCCCAGAUGUUUAGUUUUUAAAAAUAGUUUAUUUGACUUAAAUCUAAAUAAGAUCUAUACUUCUCAGCUGAUAUAUCUCUUAAAUGUUCUUAACUCUUUAAGUCCAUGCUCCAUCUUUUUUCCUUUACUACUUUUUUUUUUAGAAGAAAACAGGUCAUGUGUCCUGUAGGGUUUCCUCAAAGUCUGAAUUUGCUGAGCUGCUUCUGGUGUAAUUUAGCAUAUUCCUCCAUCUCCUGUAUUUCUUGUAAAUUGGUUAGAGACUUAGAUUUAGAUUUGAUUAUUUUGGCAAAAGUAAUUCAUAGGUGGUUUUAAUACUUCUAUCAGGAGGUAUAGAGUGGUGGUCUUUUUGUGAUGUUAGUAGCUGAUGAUGAUCAUUGUUUAGACCAGAGUGUUUCAAAACACCUGGCACUCUUGGCAUUUUGCACCAGAUAAUUCUUUAUUGUAGAGGCUGUCCUGUGCAUUGUUGGAUGUUUAGCAGCGUCCUUGGUCUCUACCCACUUGUUAUCAGUAGCAACUCCCUCAAAUGUGACAACCGAAAAUGUCUGUAGACAUUGCCAGUUGUCCCUGAUUGAAAACCACUGGUCUAGACUCAUUAAUAUAGGACUUAGAAAAUAAUAUUCUCAUUCUAUCAUUCCUUCUUUGUUUAUUAGGUAGAAUACUUGUACAAAGAGAAACUUUUCCACAUUAACUAUUUGUUACCCAUAGAUAUAUUUUAUGUAGGAAAGGCAAGAAAAAUGCUUGAUUUUUUUCACUUUUAUUUUACCAGCUUUCAAAGUAAUGAGUUGGUUCCCUAGCAUCCUCCAAAGAUCACCAAUGAGUUUGUUUUAGGAUCAUUAUGAACUCAGAUUUUAGCACAUAUAUGUGAUAUGUUUCAAUUGUUGCCAGUUAUUAUCAGUUUCAAUGUUUAACUUGUCUUAUUUUGGCCAAUGGGAACUUAUUCAAGUUGGCUCCUGAGUCCCUUUGACACAAUUUUUAAGGUUUCUUGCUAUUUGAUAUGAUAAAAUGUUCCAGGCUCAUUUUAUCCAUUCCUAGGCUAGAGUGGGUAUCAGCUAUUUUUUCCAGUGAUUCCUGGUUCCUUUUAGUUGGAAAUGGCAUUUAGAUACCACAAUCUGGGUAUUAGGGGUAUAAGGUUAUUUGACUUUAGGAAGAGCAGUUAAAUGAAUAUAGUCUAUUCCUAUUCUCAAAACAGUCCCCUCCAUUAUCUCUUUACUAUGAAAAAUUUCAAACAUGCAGAAAAGAUGAAGGAAUGCGCAAUGAACACCUGUAUACCCUCACCUAGAUUCAAUAAUUGUUAACAUUUUGUUGUGUUUUUUCUCUCUCUAAUGUGGUAUCAUAUGGUUUGAUAGGAUAGGAUAUAAUAUGAUUUUUUAUUGUACCAUUUGAAAAUAAGUUGCAGGCAUCAUGACACUUCUUUAGCAUUAUCUGCUAAGAUAAUUUUCUAUGUAACCGUAAUACUAUUAUUACAUCCUGAAUCACUUUCUUCAUUUGGUUUCUUGGUUCUCCUCAUGUCUCAUUGGCUGCUGCUGCUAGGUCUCUUUGGCUGAUUCUUCUUCGUCUUCCUUGACCGUUAAUCAGUGGUGUACCCGGAGCUCCAUUAUCAGACCUCUUUUCUCUCUACACACAUACACGGCUUCCCCCUACUCCACGGAUGACAGAGAUCCUCGCAAGUUCUUCAUGUCAGGUGAGAGGAGGUGGGUAAUGACCAAAGGCGUGGGGAGGCCCCCAGGAGGUCCUGACUCAGUAUCCCAUCCCCCGGGCUUCACUGGUUAUGUGCCCCAUGCCUGCUUCCUCUUCGGCUCCAGCUUUCCUGUGCUUACCAACCAGGCACUGCCGGAAUUUGGACAGAUGUACUCAUGGGGCAGACCUCAGAAGGAUCCCAAACAUCUCCUCCCACUUUCCAUGACUUUCCCUCAGAACCUGGGCCUUUUACCUAACUAUGGGGGCUCUGUGCCAAGUAAGGAUAGUCCCAGAGGGAGGCUUUGGGGACUGGAAUAUCAUGGAGGGGGAUGGGGGGACGUGGUUUGGGGGGUUGGAACUAAUAGGUAAGGGGGAACCUCGGAUCAUGUGGUUGAGCUUUAUCAUUGGGCAGAAAAGGAAACUGAGGCAGCUCACAGUGGGGAGUCAGGACCAGAUUUUGGAGGGUCUGGACAACUGGCUGAGAAAUAAAUGGCUUUUCCAUGCCACUAGUUUCAAGUGACAGACUCUCUGGGUCACACAGGGUGUAAGUUCCAGUUUGGCCACACAUCUUGGCAUCUCACCCAUGAUGCUCUGGGCCUCAGCACCCUCCAGAGGCAGCUCC